rnacentral:rRNA from 1 species
GAUGAACGCUGGCGGCGUGCCUAAUACAUGCAAGUCGAGCGAACAGACGAGGAGCUUGCUCCUCUGACGUUAGCGGCGGACGGGUGAGUAACACGUGGAUAACCUACCUAUAAGACUGGGAUAACUUCGGGAAGCCGGAGCUAAUACCGGAUAAUAUAUUGAACCGCAUGGUUCAAUAGUGAAAGACGGUUUUGCUGUCACUUAUAGAUGGAUCCGCGCCGCAUUAGCUAGUUGGUAAGGUAACGGCUUACCAAGGCAACGAUGCGUAGCCGACCUGAGAGGGUGAUCGGCCACACUGGAACUGAGACACGGUCCAGACUCCUACGGGAGGCAGCAGUAGGGAAUCUUCCGCAAUGGGCGAAAGCUUGACGGAGCAACGCCGCGUGAGUGAUGAAGGUCUUCGGAUCGUAAAACUCUGCUAUUAGGGAAGAACAAAUGUGUAAGUAACUAUGCACGUCUUGACGGUACCUAAUCAGAAAGCCACGGCUAACUACGUG